GUGUCAGCCGCCGCGGUAAAACGUAGGUGGCAAGCGUUAUCCGGAUUUACUGGGCGUAAAGCGCGUUCAGGCGGUCUAGCAAGUCGGGCAUGAAAUCUCUCGGCUCAACCGGGAGAGGCUGUCCGAUACUGCUAGACUUGAGGGCAGUAGAGGAAGGUGGAAUUCCGCAUGUAGUGGUGAAAUGCGUAGAUAUGCGGAGGAACACCAGUGGCGAAAGCGGCCUUCUGGGCUGCUCCUGACGCUAAAGCGCGAAAGCUAGGGUAGCGAACGGGAUUAGAAACCCUAGUAGUCC
rnacentral:rRNA from 1 species